rnacentral:lncRNA from 1 species
UUUGAUUGAAAAAUUAAAAUAAAAAUGACUCAAAACAAAUAAAAGUCGGGCGUAAAAAUGCUUGAAAAAUUAAAUUGAAUGCACCGACAUGAUCAUCGCGAAAUAAACGAACCGAAAUCAUACAGGUUUUUGUCAAAUUUUGAAAUGGAAAACGCAUGGUUAAAACACUCAGACGAAUCAAAAUGUGACCAAAAAGUGGCCGAAAAAAUAAAUUGAGCAUACCAGGUUAAACUACGUGAAACGUAGAUUAAU